rnacentral:lncRNA from 1 species
GGUUACCUUGGAAGUGAGCAUGACGUUCUUUGCGGGUAUUCUUUAUAAUUUGUGUUCAUCUCAUUAUUAAGUUGCUCUCCAUAUUUGCCAUUACCAGUUUGCUUUUGGCUGUGUCAUAACUUAUGCUCAUAGUUUUAAAUCCUUUGAACAUAUAAUCAGUUACCUUAUUUGUUUUUGACUCUGCUAAUUAUUGACCUGCCAUACAUGUGAACUGAGAUACGGCUAAAAUCAUUUAUAACUUUAUAACCAUACAAGGAGCAGGAGAAGAUAAAACAAUAGUGCAAUGGGGAGAUACGGCUAAAACACUUGGGCCAAGAGGGCAACCUCUGUUAGCCACUCUGUCAAUUCCCCUUAUUAUAAGAAGUUGAAAUGUAUAUAUACUGAGUGUCUUUAGGUUGCUUGAGUAAAGGCUAUACCUAGUGUACAAGACUCCGACUCCAACCAAAAUAGUCUGCAACCAAAAGAGAUGAUAUUAUUAUUAUACUGAUUUUCUGAGUAUUGUUGUAGUCUAAAGUAACAUAUUAAACAUUGUUUUUUACUGUGUAAGCACUUAUGUAUUCGAAGAUCGCUCUUUUCUUAAUUCAGUUCUGCUUGCUCAUUUGGUUUCGGUAUAGUUAACUAGUAAGCGAAAGCACAUCGUUAUGUAAACUGGUCCAGAUCAUUAUAUUUUAACUCUUUUUUAUCUUCUGUAUCCUGGCAAAGCUUUGCAAGGCAGAAAGCAAGUUUCAUUGUUACUUUGAAUCAUUAUUGAUUAUUGGAAUGUGUAAUAGGACUCGUACAUUUUAUCUUCUAUGUGUAAAUGUGACAAGUUGACUGAGAUAUCGAGCAGUAUGAAGUACUAGAGCAGAUUGGCAAAGGAGCUUUUGGCUCUAUACAUUGUAUGUAGAGAUUUAUACAUUUUAUAUAUAGAUCUAUGUGUUUCUUCCUGUGUGUAUCAAUUUCUUUAGUUACAAUUUCCUGUUUUUCAUCAACACUUGCUUCUGAUAUGAAGUAUUGGUUGUUGCAUAUAUGAUUUAUUUGAUUUGAGGCGGUCCAUUGUAUGUCAACCUUUCUCUUAUAGGAAGAAUAUUGUUCAUUUCUUUAUAUCAUUUUUUUGCUUUCAACUUCUGUGCUGCAGAUAACAACAUUUAGUUGCUCUUUGGCCAAACAUCGCAAUGGUGUUAUUCAGAUGAAAGGCUGAGAGAACCUAUUCCUAGCAAUGGCAGAAAAGAGCCUAUCAGCCCAGCACAGAAGACAGAAGACAAUGUAUGAUCCGAAUGAUGAAGUAGCAAUGAAUGACUUAGCACCCAACACUGACAUGUAUACUUUACAAUUGCUUUGAUGUUCCGGUUUGAAAUUAUGAUAGAGUUGCUUUGUAGUUUGAUGGCUUGUUUAGGAAGGGAUUUAAGAAUGUACAAGACUGAUACUGCAAAAUUUUUAUAAAAAUUGUUGCAUUUUACUUUUU